GAUGAACGCUGGCGGCGUGCCUAAUACAUGCAAGUCGAGCGAACGGACGAUAAGCUUGCUUCUCUGAUGUUAGCGGCGGACGGGUGAGUAACACGUGGAUAACCUACCUAUAAGACUUGGAUAACUUCGUGAAACCGGAGCUAAUACCGGAUAAUAUUUUGAACCGCAUGGUUCAAAAGUGAAAGACGGUCUUGCUGUCACUUAUAGAUGGAUCCGCGUUGCAUUAGCUAGUUGGUAAGGUAACGGCUUACCAAGGCGACGAUGCAUAGCCGACCUGAGAGGGUGAUCGGCCACACUGGAAUUGAGACACGGUCCAGACUCCUACGGGAGGCAGCAGUAGGGAAUAUUCCGCAAUGGGCGAAAGCCUGACGGAGCAACGCCGCGUGAGUGAUGAAGGUCUUCGGAUUGUAAAACUCUGUUAUUAGGGAAGAACAUAUGUGUAAGUAAAUGUGCACAUUUUGACGGUACCUAAUCAGAAAGCAACGGCUAACUACGUG
rnacentral:rRNA from 1 species